AGGGCCCCACUAAGGGUGGGAGUUGAAGCUGCCAGCCUACACCAUAGCAACACCAAAUCUGAGCCUCAUUUCCAACCUAUACCACAGUUCAGGGCAACAGCAGAUCCUUUACCCACUGAGGGAGGCCAAGGAGCGAAUCCACAUCCUCAUGGGUACUGGUCAGGUUCAUUACUGCUGAGCCACAAUAGGAACUUAACGAAGGCUGUAUUUUUAACCACUGUAAUAUCCUAGGCUCUUUCCCGUCUAUUCAUACAUGCCAACCAAUGUCUUUCCCAGUGUCAGAAAGCUAUUAAGUUUACUCACUCUAUUCCUAAUGUAACACUGCAGAUAACAUGAAAAUGUGCAGAUGAACAAAAUAUGACUCUGGAGCAGCACUGUGAACAGAACCUUCUGUGACGACAGAAAUGUUCAGUAAUAUCUGUGCUGUCCAGUACGGUGGCCUCUGACCCCACGAGGCUACUGAAGCACAAUGUGGUCAGUGUGACGUGAACUUAGGCACAUGUGGCUAGACACCAUCGAACAGGACAGCACAGCUCUAGAGAAAUAACAAGAAAGUGCAUGCCACAGAAAGAAGCAACUUAGCAACCAUGAUGGCAACUUGCCAACAGUAAAACAACUCAAGGUAGACAUAUAUAGUCAAGGAGUAAAACUGAAAAAGGCUCCAUCUCAAACAUGUCCUAAGACCAUGUCUUAUCUUUCAAACAUCCACAACAGCCUUCAAAAUUCAGAUUCACCACCAGCUGCAUUAUACCACCACCGCCCUGCACGUGUGUACUGCAGACCAAAUUGGGUAUUAAGUGUAUAUUGUGUUCCCCACUGGACUGUGAGCAUCUGAAGAACAGAUAGGUAUUAACAUCUCCACCACCUGCAACUAUAUCCCAAGGUUUUCUACACUAUUUCGUCAUUCAGUUUUAAUGGGAGAUAGUAUUCAAUUCUGUAAGCGUCUGAGUACCAGCAGUAUGUAUGAAAGGAAGUCCUUGUAAGGAUCUUAGAGUGGGAUGGGGGAUACAUUAUACAGGUAGACAAAUAAAUAGCAAAGGAAGGAGGGUAACUACCUAAGUACGUAAACCUAGUGCUUCAGGGCAGAAUGGAACUGUCAGGUGUCCUAGUGGUAAGAGAAACUGGAACGCAGUCUAAGAAAUAAGCAGCCAUUAUUCAAUUUUGUAAAACAUGUAAGAUGGUAAAGUGUGCCCCCACCUACUACUCCGCAAAGCCUAAUGGAUUUAAAAGGAAGGAAGGAAGAGAAACAUCACAGCAGGGCACAGAAAUUUAUCCUGACUUCACUCACAUCACCAGCGUCAGACUCACCCUGCUCCCUGUACCAGUAGGCCAAAGCUAGUCUUAGAACAAAGGCUUCUAGAUCCAAAGUUUCCACGAAAAUCUCACAGCAAAAAACAUGGUAGUUUUCCGUACACUCAAACCCUGAUUAUCUUUUAGUUAUCUACUUUUAGGUCUUGGAAACGUUAACACAGUCCAAUCUUACAGUCAGUGUAAGAGGCAGCACAUGGAGCUAAGAGUAGUUUAAAUUCAUUUAAAAGAAGUUCCCAGAGUUCCCGUCGUGGUGCAGUGGUUAACGAAUCCAACUAGGAACCAUGAGGUUGCAGGUUCAAUCCCUGGCCUUGCUCAGUGGGUUACAGAUCCGGCAUUGCCGUGAGCUGUGUUGUAGGUUGCAGACACAUCUCGGAUCCCGAGUUGCUGUGGCUCUGGAGUAGGCCAGCAGCUACAGCUCCAAUUAGACCCCUAGCCUGGGAACCUCCAUAUGCCGCGAGAGCGGCCCUAGAAAUGGCAAAAAGACAAAAAAUAAUAAUAAUUUUAAAAACAUUCAUUUCAUAAGCACAUUUUCUGUUUCCUUUAAAAAUCAUUUGGGGGCAGGGGUACUGUAUGAGGAGGCUGCAAAUUCAUAAGACAUCAAGCAUCAUCCAGAGGCCAAAAAAUAGAAAGUAUAACUACUAUCAUGUAGCAGGUUGCACACUGGAAGACUAACAAAAGUCCAACACUCUAACUUUAGAAAAGAUUGGGGUAAAAAAUCACCAGCCAAUUUUCUCAUCUCUAUCAGCACACAGAUUAUUCAUGACAAAAACAAGAGAAAAUCUGCUUAGUUUUCCUAAACUGAAUGGGCUUGUGUAGUUUAACUUUUUUAUAUGCCUGUUUUCUCAUUUUAGAUUGAGGAAGGAGACUAGAUGCCCUCAGAGGAAAAAUGUCAUUAGCUGAUAUAAUUACUUACAGAUUGAUUCAGCAUGAAUUCUGGUUCAAUCCUAAUUCAUCCAUGAACAGGAAAUAUAGGGCCAUGGAAGUUAUUAAAAUGUCAUAAAUUCUUUGAUUCUCCUCAAAACAUGGAGCUUGAUGCCUCUCCCCUUGGCUGUAGGUUCUGUGAACCCACAGCAUGUGGCAGCAGCAGUGGGGUUUCCUCCUUGCUCCUGCUUGGGUCACUCACUCUAGGGGAAGCCAGCCACCAGGUGGUGAGGACACUCACGCAAGCCCAGUGGAGAACUGAGAACUGCUGAACGCUAACCUGCUGGAGUGUGGGCCCCAGAGAGCCUCCAACUCAGUAAACAUCUUGACAUAAAAAACACCUCAUGACUGACCCAAAACGACCUAAGCUACUGCCAGGUUCCCUGACCCACAGCAAUUCUGAGAUAUACUGAAUGGUCACUGUUUUAAUCCACUAAGUUUUGGGGUAAUUUGUAACAGCAACUAAUACUAAAAAUGAAUAUACCAGUGUUUUUUAAUCUGUGGACCCUAACCCAUCUGUGAUUUAUAAAAUCAAUUUAAAGCUAUUUUUUAAAAAAUGAAGAAAAAAAAAAAAAAGAAAACCUAGUAAAUCUUUGGAGUUCUCGCUGUGGCAGAAUGGGUUAAGAAUCUGAUCAUGGUGGCUCAGGUCACUGCGGAGGCUUGGGUUUGAUUCCUGGCCCGGGUACAGUGGGUUAAAGGAUCCAGCAUUGCAGCAGCUGUGGCGAAGGCAUCUUUGGCUCGGAUUCAGUCCCUGGCCAGAAACUUCCAUAUGCCAUGGGUGCAGCCAUAAAAUUUUUUUAAAAACCUAGCAAAUAAUAAAAAGUUACAAAAGAUAGAGUAUACAAUUCAAAAUAACAUUACUACCUCAAAGUUUUUUCAACCUUACAAAUAUGUGUAUACCAAGUAGCAUUUAAUAACACUUUUUUUUUUUUUUUUUUUUUUUUGUCUUUUUGCCUUUUCUAGGGCUGCUCCCUCGGCAUAUGGAGGUAAAAUGUGUGAAACUAUUUUUGGAACCCUAAUUUGCCAAAUUUAUUUUCAAACUGCAAACUGCAAAUAAAUCAGUAUGGAAACACUAAACAGAUGACUUUUUUUUUUAUUACUUACCUCAUAGGCUACUAUCCCUCAGCAAGAACUGAGUUUUCUCCCCAACCUUUACAUAUUUGUCAGUUUCUACUUCAAUCAGUUGUAGAAAGCAGAUAAAAUUUGUAUAGCAUUACUUAUAAUGCUAGUACUUGAUAAGGGUGACUAAAAAUCAAAAUAAUUGGCAUACUUAGCAAAAACCAAGUACACACAAUUAGGCCUUGAAAGAACUAGAAGCAAAGCAGUCCAGUUCUAAAUUCAAGAGCAAGAGCUCUAGAAGACCUAGAUGCUCCUGACAGCUUUCUUCUCUAAUAAAGGUUCAGUUUCAAGAAUAAUCCUGGCUUUAUUUCUACACAACUAUAUAUAGAGUAUGGUACUGGGAAACUUAUUCAUAAGAAUAAGCAUAAUUACUUUGACUCAAGGCCAAAUACUCAAGACACAGAGGCAUGUUUCUGCCCAAUGGCUUCAUCUAAAACUUUAGCAUUAGUUUGCCCAAUUUUUCCUUUAGUUUCUCUUAAAUCAGUUCACUCUCCAUGUAAGUACUCAUCAGACCAUAAACUUAAAAGUUCAGAGUCAGAGUCUAAAAGAAUUAGAUCUCGAACUAUGUCCCUCCAAUCAAAAUCAUUUCAGUUUCCUAAUGAAACAGAUCUCAACUGCAGAGUCAAUCCAAGGAACCUGGCCUGCCAGUCUGAUGGCCAACUUUGUUUUAGUCAUACCGCACCAGAAAUACUUAUACCGGGGUCGACAUUUGGUUUUGCAAGGCAGGCAUUUAACACUCAACAAGUCAUUUAUCUAGCUGAUCAAAAAAGAAAGUUCAAGGCAGGUAUGUACUAAAUCUAUUGGCUCUUAGACCACUAAAGUUACACGGCUGCUUAUUUUGUUUUCAGACAAGAAGAAAUUAGUCAUCACUAGCCACAGGUACAAGCAGAUUACCAAAUCACACUCGAUUUUUAGCAGUGACACUUCUGCAUGUUAAACUGUCUUAAGAUAGUAAGUUUCCCUUAAGUAUUUUGUCAACUAUGUGCCAGGGCACUGUGCUAUGUAAACCAAAAUGGGUUCCACAUCAAAUCAAGGCCCUUAUAACCAAGACACCAUGCUUUAAAAGCAGAGGAGCUG
rnacentral:lncRNA from 1 species